AACCCAAACUAAUUAUCUUCGGCGUAAAACGUGUCAACUAUAAAUAAAUAAAUAGAAUUAAAAUCCAACUUAUAUGUGAAAAUUCAUUGUUAGGACCUAAACUCAAUAACGAAAGUAAUUCUAGUCAUUUAUAAUACACGACAGCUAAGACCCAAACUGGGAUUAGAUACCCCACUAUGCUUAGCCAUAAACCUAAAUAAUUAAAUUUAACAAAACUAUUUGCCAGAGAACUACUAGCCAUAGCUUAAAACUCAAAGGACUUGGCGGUACUUUAUAUCCAUCUAGAGGAGCCUGUUCUAUAAUCGAUAAACCCCGCUCUACCUCACCAUCUCUUGCUAAUU
rnacentral:rRNA from 1 species